GAGCACUGUUCAUGGCCUGUGAGUCUGGCCGUGGCUAAGGGGUUCCAUCCUGGUGCUACAGCAGCUCCAGCGACAUGUGACUGACUGACUCUUGACUCUACUUCAGGUCCUGGGGCAUAG
ensembl:snoRNA